rnacentral:snRNA from 1 species
ACUUAAAUACGCGACGGGG